GUAGGUGAACCUGCGAA
rnacentral:rRNA from 1 species